UAUCACUUGUCAGACGCAAGUUUGGCACCAGCCACAGAAAGGAGCUACAGAUGGUAAGACUUAGCAGAGGCAACAGCGCGAGGGUCCUGGUGAGCAGGACUGGUCGGCAUGGGGGUGGGAGAAGAUAAAAGGACCGAGAAAGCAACAACGGGCCAGCAACCUGACCAAGCUCUGUUCACCCUCCCCUGCCCCAUCAUCACCCCUCUCCUGCCAGCGUGAGCGACUUGGAAUUCCCACAGGUCAGGAGCUCUUCUCCGUGCUGGAAGACUGCAAGGCCCAGAAUGACCCCAGCCUCUCUCUCUCCUCCUUCCUCUGCUCCACCUUUACCCUUGCUCGCAGUAGCAAGUCCCAGUCCAUCUUUGAGGGAAGUCAGGGUAGGAACUGAAGCAGGAACAUAGAAGAAAUCUGCUCAUUGGCUUGCUCUUUGGCUUAUGCUCAGCUGCCUAAGGACGGUGCUGCCCACAGAGGGCUGGGUCUCCCCACAUCAAUGAUCAACUAAGACAAUCCCUCACAGACACAGCCAGUCUGAUUCAGGAAAUUCUUCAGUUGAGGUGCCCUCUUCCCAAGUGGCUCUAGGUUGUGUUGGUUGACAAUAAAAACUAACAAGGGGAGUCUGGUACCUUCA